rnacentral:lncRNA from 1 species
UUUUUUAAUUUUUUGUUUAUGAUUUAUUCUCUUAAUUUAUCUAAAAAUCGAGGAAAAAAGUUUUGACCAAUCUUAUUUGAAUCUCAACAAUGUCAUUAUAGCACAUUUUAUUUUAUUAAUACAUAUUUCCUCGAUUUUGUUCAUAAAUGAUAGAAACAAUGUGUGUUUGUUUAUUUAAUCAACAAAUUUUUAUCGUUUAUUUAUAAAGUAACAACGAUCAACACAUUGUCA